CACGUAGGGCGCAAGCGUUGUCCGGAAUUAUUGGGCGUAAAGCGCGCGCAGGUGGUUCUUUAAGUCUGAUGUGAAAUCUCGCGGCUCAACCGCGAGCGGUCAUUGGAAACUGGGGAACUUGAGUGCAGAAGAGGAAAGUGGAAUUCCACGUGUAGCGGUGAAAUGCGUAGAGAUGUGGAGGAACACCAGUGGCGAAGGCGACUUUCUGGUCUGUAACUGACACUGAGGCGCGAAAGCGUGGGGAGCGAACAGG
rnacentral:rRNA from 1 species